AGUGGGAUAUUUGGGUUUUCAAGGAGCCUUUCUUUAAAAAGGAGCGAUUUAUUUUAUGUUAAAACUAUAUAGCCAAAGCAGUCACCCUGGCGGGUCAACGGGUGGCGCUCGUGUGCAAAACACCGUGGAACAAGCAGCGGUAGAAGAAGGUUGGCCCGGAUUGGCCGACGUGACGUCAGGCUAGCAAAUGAAUUGGAGUCAGGUGUGCGGGAGGAAUUUAAUCGAGCGCGGUGCACAGCUGCGGCAAGAUGGCGACCGAGCGAGCACACGAGCAAAUGUUUGUCGCUUGUCGGCCUUUCUCACGAUGUCCUUUUGUUUGUUCCCCGAUUUGCAGCGUAGGUGGUGGGACUGCAGGACGCCACGACCCGUUCGCCUUUCCCUUGAUGUCGUGCAUUGUGCUCUUCGUUUCUCUUGCCGCGUUUUCAACUUUUGGGGGGUUUGUUUUAAAGCUGGCCAGCUUUUUUUUUUUUUUUUUUUUUUUUAAAUUGUUGCAAAUGACAAAACCGAUGUCUUUGUGAAUUGAACAGUGAAAGGUUUGGGUUUGUUUGUUUGACCAAAUGUUUGAACGUUUCUUCUCAGGUUGUACGCACUUAUUUCUCUGAUUCAUGUCUGGUUUGAUGAAGUUUACUGUCUUGGUCAAAAAUGUUUGGGGUUUUUUUUUUCCCUUCAGCCAGUAUGAGGAAGCCCAAUUGCAUGUCUAACCCCGUCCCCCCCCCCCCCCCCCUUUGCAGGUUAUUCACCAAUGUCCUCCGCUGUUCUAUAAACGUGAAUAUUAUUGUGGAAGCCUGAAUCGUUUCACGAAUGCACAUUUUCAGCGCUUUCUGCUCCAAACACAGCCCAAAGUCCAUCUUCAUUCGUCCACUUGCGGGCUGCGAGAGGCAACAAGAUCCAUGAGGCGAGAGUAGGAGGACCAACGGUUUGAGUCGUGAGACCUGCAGAACCCGAGUGUUUUUCAUUUUGUUUUUUUUUUGGGGGGGACAGGAUGCGCCAGCGAAUUAGAGCAGCAUGAAGACGAAUAGAAGAGGAGCCCAAUGAAUUGGAGGAGCGUGCGAAGGGCUCACAUGGAGCUGAAUGGAAUGAGAACAAGGAGCAGUUCCACAAACGAAGCGAAGCGAGCGGCACACCGAUGAGGAUCAUCCGUCCGCGGGCUGCCUGAAAAUGCUGAACAGGAGGGGCCAGAGUAUUGAGCUUUGGGGGAUGCCUCAUGGUUUGCGUGGGUU